CUGGGAGCAGUGGGCGGGGCCUAGAUUCCGAGGCCCAGGAGGCAGGGAUGGUGCCUCGGCGAGCCUGCGAGUCUGAGCCCUGGGGGUUGUCCCGUCCUACUCUCCGUUCAGUCAGCCGUUAUAUCCUUUCCGUAACCUCCUCCAGCAGGGUUUUAGAGGCAAAAUUAAGACUAAACACUUUUCAAGGAACUAUGCUGAAGAAAUUGGGAAAGGAAUAAGAUACUUCUACCAUCUUCAGCAUGAAGGUUAGUUUUCUUCAGAAUAAUAUAAAAUGUGAAAAAUAGAAGCAACAAUCCCACAAUGUUGAAAAAAAUGCUUUUUCACCUGAGCAAGGAUAAUUAU
rnacentral:lncRNA from 1 species